UGGUAGUGUCAAGGACAGUCAAAAUGAAUGGGGAAAGUAGACUGUUUGAACUGUGUGGAAAGAUGAGUCCAGAUUUGAACUUUGAGUCAAGCUUGAGCAGCUGACAGGAAAUAGGAGGGCAGAUAAUUAGAAAGAACUUGGGAAUGUGCAACAGAAACUUGGAGGAUAAAUUAAAAAUGGAAAUGUAUAUCGGGGAUCCACCUGCAUGAAGCUGAGAUCCGAAGCUCCCUGGCAAGACCUCUUAGGGAGUUCCAGGUGGAUGGGAAAAGGGGACCAAAUGAGUUCAUCACCAGAAGUAGGCCUCAGAAGAGAAGAUGCUGCAGUAAGCCUCUCUCUGCUUCUCAGCUAGUUUUAGAAGUGGCAUUCUUACCAUCCUCAGAACAAUACUCAGACAGGUAAGUGGAGGAAGCUGCUCACAGCAAACAAG
ensembl:lincRNA